rnacentral:rRNA from 1 species
GCUUGUAGGCGGUUUGUCGCGUCUGCUGUGAAAAUCCGGGGCUCAACCCCGGACUUGCAGUGGGUACGGGCAGACUUGAGUAUUGCAGGGGAGACUGGAAUUCCUGGUGUAGCGGUGAAAUGCGCAGAUAUCAGGAGGAACACCGGUGGCGAAGGCGGGUCUCUGGGCAAAUACUGACGCUGAGGAGCGAAAGCAUGGGUAGCAAACAGGAUUAGAUACCCUGGUAGUCCAUGCCGUAAACGUUGGGCGCUAGGUGUGGGGCUCAUUCCACGAGUUCCGUGCCGCAGCUAACGCAUUAAGCGCCCCGCCUGGGGAGUACGGCCGCAAGGCUAAAACUCAAAGGAAUUGACGGGGGCCCGCACAAGCGGCGGAGCAUGCGGAUUAAUUCGAUGCAACGCGAAGAACCUUACCAAGGCUUGACAUGCACCGGACGACUGCAGAGAUGUGGUUUCCCUUUGUGGCUGGUGUGCAGGUGGUGCAUGGUUGUCGUCAGCUCGUGUCGUGAGAUGUUGGGUUAAGUCCCGCAACGAGCGCAACCCUCGUUCCAUGUUGCCAGCGGGUUAUGCCGGGGACUCAUGGGAGACUGCCGGGGUCAACUCGGAGGAAGGUGGGGAUGACGUCAAAUCAUCAUGCCCCUUAUGUCUUGGGCUUCACGCAUGCUACAAUGGCUGGUACAGAGGGCUGCAAUACCGUGAGGUGGAGCGAAUCCCUUAAAACUGGUCUCAGUUCGGAUUGGGGUCUGCAACUCGACCCCAUGAAGUCGGAGUCGCUAGUA